UACGUAGGGCGCAAGCGUUGUCCGGAAUUAUUGGGCGUAAAGAGCUCGUAGGCGGUCUGUCGCGUCUGUUGUGAAAACUCGAGGCUCAACCUCGGGCUUGCAGUGGAUACGGGCAGACUAGAGUGCGGUAGGGGAGACUGGAAUUCUCGGUGUAGCGGUGAAAUGCGUAGAUAUCGAGAGGAACACCUGCGGCGAAGGCGGGUUGCUGGGCUGAUACUGACGCUGAUGCGCGAAAGCCAGGGGAGCGAACGGG
rnacentral:rRNA from 1 species